AGCGAACGCUGGCGGCAGGCCUAACACAUGCAAGUCGAACGAAGCCUUCGGGCUUAGUGGCGGACGGGUGAGUAGCGCGUGGGAACGUGCCCUUUGGUUCGGAUUAGCCCCGGGAAACUGGGAGUAAUACCGGAUAAGCCCUACGGGGGAAAGAUUUAUCGCCAAAGGAUCGGCCCGCGUUGGAUUAGGUAGUUGGUGGGGUAAUGGCCUACCAAGCCGACGAUCCAUAGCUGGUUUGAGAGGAUGAUCAGCCACACUGGGACUGAGACACGGCCCAGACUCCUACGGGAGGCAGCAGUGGGGAAUCUUAGACAAUGGGGGAAACCCUGAUCUAGCCAUGCCGCGUGAUCGAUGAAGGCCUUAGGGUUGUAAAGAUCUUUCAGCUGGGAAGAUAAUGACUGUACCAGCAGAAGAAGCCCCGGCUAACUCCGUGCCAGCAGCCGCGGUAAUACGGAGGGGGCUAGCGUUGUUCGGAAUUACUGGGCGUAAAGCGCACGUAGGCGGAACAGAAAGUCAGAGGUGAAAUCCCAGGGCUCAACCUUGGAACUGCCUUUGAAACUCCUGUUCUUGAGGUCGAGAGAGGUGAGUGGAAUUCCGAGUGUAGAGGUGAAAUUCGU
rnacentral:rRNA from 1 species